UGAUGUUUACAUCACCGCAUAUUUUUUUUGACAAUGCCAUGCAGAUCCAUGAGAAGGUAUUAUUUUCAGACUGUAACAUAGGUCACUACAGGGGAUCAUGGGGACAUACUACAUUGAUGUGCAGCCUCAAGAUGCAGAAGUCAACUUUGGAGUGAAAGGAAAUGUGGCCUAAUCAUUCAGUAAGAAACUAGACAGGAAUGGACUGUUUCUCAGCCCACAAAGACGAUCAAGAAACCAGAUGGAGAAGCAACAAAGUGAUGCAAGCAAUGAUGGUAUUCAAAGAACACAAAAAGGACGUUGCUAAAUCUAUUUGGCAGCAACAUCAUUAAUAAGACAAUUUAUCUUUACCUUUUGAAAAACAAGUUGCUCUAUGUUGGCUGAGAAAAUGAAAGACAAUAUUUAUUAUUACAGGUGUAAGAAAAAUAUAAUACAAUAAAAAAAACUAAUGACCACUUAA